rnacentral:rRNA from 1 species
GAUGAACGCUGACAGAAUGCUUAACACAUGCAAGUCAACUGUGGCGGACGGGUGAGUAACGCGUAAAGAACUUGCCUCACGGAUAGGGACAACAUUUGGAAACGAAUGCUAAUACCGGAUACUGUGAGAGAGCUUUGCGUCCCAUUAGCUAGUGGGAGAGGUAACGGCUCACCAAGGCGAUGAUGGGUAGCAGGCCUGAGAGGGUGAUCGGCCACAAGGGGACGGAGACACGGCCCGUACUCCUACGGGAGGCAGCAGUGGGGAAUAUUGGACGAUGGACCAAAGUCUGAUCCAGCAAUUCUGUGUGCACAAUGAGGUUUUCGGAAUGUAAAGUGCUUUCAGUUGGGAAGCGGUACCAACAGAAGAAGUAACGGCUAAAUACGUGCCAGCAGCCGCGGUAAUAC